UGAGGAAUUUUGCGCAAUGGGAGCAAUCCUGACGCAGCAACGCCGCGUGGGUGAUGAAGGCCUUCGGGUCGUAAAGCCCUGUCAGGUGGGAAGAAUGUCCAGAGACUAAACAGGUUUCGGGAGUGACGGUACCACCAGAGGAAGCACCGGCUAACUCCGUGCCAGCAGCCGCGGUAAUACGGCGGGUGCAAGCGUGAUUCGGAAUUACUGGGCGUAAAGCGCGUGUAGGCGGUCCUGCAAGUCAGAUGUGAAAUCCCCGGGCUUAACCCGGGAAGGGCGGUGGAAACUGCAGGUCUUGAGUACUGGAGAGGAUGGGGGAAUUCCCGGUGUAGAGGUGAAAUUCGUAGAGAUCGGGAGGAAUAUCAGUGGCGAAGGCGCCCAUCUGGACGGUAACUGACGCUGAGACGCGAAAGCGUGGGGAGCAAACA
rnacentral:rRNA from 1 species